rnacentral:tRNA from 1 species
CGGGAUGUGGCGCAGUUUGGAGUGCGCGCCCGGUUCGGAACCGGGAGGACGUUGGUUCGAAUCCAGCCAUCCCGA